GACGAACGCUGGCGGCGUGCUUAACACGUGCAAGUCGAACGGAAAGGCCCUGCUUUUGUGGGGUGCUCGAGUGGCGAACGGGUGAGUAACACGUGAGUAACCUGCCCUUGACUUUGGGAUAACUUCAGGAAACUGGGGCUAAUACCGGAUAGGAGCUCCUGCUGCAUGGUGGGGGUUGGAAAGUUUCGGCGGUUGGGGAUGGACUCGCGGCUUAUCAGCUUGUUGGUGGGGUAGUGGCUUACCAAGGCUUUGACGGGUAGCCGGCCUGGGAGGGUGACCGGCCCCAUUGGGACUGAGAUACGGCCCGGACUCCUACGGGAGGCAGCAGUGGGGAAUAUUGCACAAUGGGCGGAAGCCUGAUGCAGCAACGCCGCGUGCGGGAUGACGGCCUUCGGGUUGGAAACCGCUUUCGCCUGUGACGAAGCGUGAGUGACGGUAAUGGGGAAAGAAGCACCGGCUAACUACGU
rnacentral:rRNA from 1 species